rnacentral:rRNA from 1 species
CAGCAGCCGCGGUAAUACGUAGGUGGCAAGCGUUGUCCGGAAUUAUUGGGCGUAAAGGGCUCGCAGGCGGUUUCUUAAGUCUGAUGUGAAAGCCCCCGGCUCAACCGGGGAGGAUCAUUGGAAACUGGGAAACUUGAGUGCAGAAGAGGAGAGUGGAAUUCCACGUGUAGCGGUGAAAUGCGUAGAGAUGUGGAGGAACACCAGUGGCGAAGGCGACUCUCUGGUCUGUAACUGACGCUGAGGAGCGAAAGCGUGGGGAGCAAACAGGAUCAGAGACCCCUGUAGUCCCUGUCUCUUAUAA